UUUGAAUAUAACUCUUGCUUCAAUUUUGCUUAGCUUCAAAAAUCUUCAAACCUCGAAAUGUAUUCUGCAGUUCUUUUCAUCAUGUUUUUAGCACUCCCAGUUCUUGCACUCAGUGGUGAUAUUCAACCAGACUCUCCAAUACUGUCUUGCGGAGAAUACGAGACGGAUUGUAAAACCUUCUGCUGUCCCCACUUCGGGAGUUGCUGUGAGGGUGGACUGGGCUGCUGCCCCAACGGAACGUACUGCACCUGGGUCUUCGGGUUGGGAAAAGUCUGCACCCGAUACGCACCCCAGAAAAAAGGACGGAAGAUGACCAUUUCAAAAAAUUCCGUCUUCCCGAAGACGGGCGCCCUCAAGACGAGAACCAAGUUCGAAAGAAUGAAUGAUUUAAAUAAAAACUAUUUUUGAAAAAAAAAAAAGCAUUUAACAUUGCCUCAGUGAAUAUGUGCAGUUUGCUUUGUUUGUUUAGUUUUGAAUUUUUCAUGCUUUCAUACCUUAAUUAGUGAAAAA